GCGAGGACAGAGUUUGGCGGUUAAGAGUUUCUCACGACGAACCCCUGCCUCGCAGAACAGCCCAGAUGGAGUCUCGGCCGCAGAGACGUCAGCUAUCGAGACCUCUACCCAGCAGGCCUUGCACUACGCGCUGACUGGAGCCACACAACAAGUCCAGAUCCACCGUAUUGGAGAAGACGGGCAGGUGCAAGUUAUACCGCAGGGACACCUCCACAUUGCUCAGGUGCCACAGGGCGAACAGGUGCAGAUCACACAGGACAGCGAGGGCAACCUACAGAUCCACCAAGUACAUGUUGGGCAAGAUGGCCAGGUAAAUGUA